rnacentral:rRNA from 1 species
CACGUAGGGCGCGAGCGUUGUCCGGAAUUAUUGGGCGUAAAGAGCUCGUAGGCGGCCUGUUGCGUCCGCUGUGAAAGCCCGGGGCUUAACCCCGGGUCUGCAGUGGAUACGGGGCAGGCUAGAGGUAGGUAGGGGAGAAUGGAAUUCCCGGUGUAGCGGUGAAAUGCGCAGAUAUCGGGAGGAACACCGGUGGCGAAGGCGGUUCUCUGGGCCUGUACUGACGCUGAGGAGCGAAAGCGUGGGGAGCGAACAGG